rnacentral:piRNA from 1 species
UAGCCAUCAACAUCAUUGUGUUUUGGUUUGU